UACAUCAUUUAGCAGUUUUUUACUAACUUGAUGUGAAAACAGUAUCCUGUACGAAUAUGAAAUUGGGCCACUGUAUAUACAGCUGUACGGUUACUUGGGGAGUCAUCGACACCUCCGACGACAUUGUCCAACGACUGAAGACGGGAUUGCCAUCGACGGAAGGAACUCAUUAGUAAAGUGCUCCCCACCUAGCCGCAGAUGGCAACAUCCAACCCAGCUAGUAGAACGGAAACAGUACUCUAGCAUCAGCAUUUCAUCACCUGACAACAUAGGUAGCAUUCACGUGGACAACCACCGAACGAGACCACUAAACGAAGCCACAGCCCUUUGGACCCGCGGCAUCAGCAGUUCUUCCACAGCAACAGCAUAAGCAUUGCAGUAGGUAGUGAGGUUUGAUCGUAAUCAAUAAUUGAAUAAAGGUUCAGUUCGUUUUAGGCAGUAGGCAGUAUCGAAUAAGUUCUUUUUUAAAACUUAGUCUGGGUGACACCCUUCUUCACUGGCGCAGUCGGCAGUUCUAGCGUGGAGUAGUUAAAGUGUAGUGAAAAGUGUUCUUAUCCGAAAUCAUCGGCGGCUUACCGAAGAGCAAAGGAGGAAACACCUAAACUACAGAUUCUAGUGCACCGGCGGUUCACCAAGACACCAAAAUCAUCUUUAACGAAGCUUCACACCUGCUAGAAGACAUCGAACCAUCCGAGGGAAUAUCGGACAUCGAACCAUCCGAGGGAAUAUCGGACAUCGAACCAUCCGAGGGAAUAUCGGACAAUCGAACCAUCCGAGGGAAUAUCGGACAAUUUAACCAUCCGAGGGAACAUCGGAUAAAACCCAUCCAUACAGCUACCAACAUGAAACCACGUGAAAUUUUAUAUGCAGCCAAAAAUGGACAGGAGAGACCGAUAGAAAUGGAACGCCUUGUUGAACUUCGUGACAAGUUGUACGACGAAGUUCAAGUACAACUAACCAAGACACAAAACUCACAGAAUCUGUACCACAACAGGAAGCGAGAGGAUCCGCCAAAACUAAAACAAAACGAAUUGGCAUACAACCGCAUCCAAGGAGUGAAGUCGAAAAUUAAGGACCGCUACCAACAAGUGCGAGUACGAUCUAACCGGAAACACACGUACAAAGAUAUCCUAAGUCGAAAAUUGCAUAAAGAAAAACUGCGACGAAUCCGAAAGUAACACCACAGAAUCUCUAAUGUGUUUUUUUCAUUUGUUUUCUCUUUUUAGAUGACGUUUAUUUGGAAUAUCCUGAUAACAACCACAUUCCUUACUCAGCUAUCCCAACCACAAUCCAUCCACGUCAUUAAUCUCAAACAAAACCCCGGUCUUUUAACCAUAGAAACUGGCAACAGUUUUAUAAAAAUAGGCAAUCACAGAUUGUUUCAUAUCCUAGAACUGGAUAAUUACGAACCUAUUUUUAGAAAAUUGCUUGCUAAUAUCCAAGGAAUACGGACAUUCUCAAAUUUUACUGAUAUGUUUGAAAUCUUAGAAUCGAAAUAUGGAACCGUUCACAGUUUAUUCAAUAAUCUUCGGCCAAAGCAAAGAAAUAAAAGAGGAUUAUUUAAUUUUCUCGGAACUGGAAUAAAAAGAAUUACAGGAAAUAUGGACCAUAACGACUAUGAACAAAUUUCGAAAAAUAUUUUUGAACUGCAGAUCAAGAACAAAAGACUUAUUAACGAAAACAACGAACAGCUUAAAAUUAAUCUACAACUCCAAAAUAGAAUCAAUUCCAUUAUCAAUCGUUUAAAUCAACAACAGAGUGAAAUUACUAAAAACAUUAUAUCAGCUAGAUUUGAAAACGAAACCAACAAAAACUUUAAAUUAUUUAGAGAAAUUUUGAAAAUCAAUUACAACUUAGACAACCUUAAAUCACAUUUAGAAGACAUUUUUGAAUCAAUUCAGUUAGCAAGAACUAACAUUAUUCCCAAACAAAUACUUUCAAUUGAAGAGUUAGGAUUUGUUUCAGAUAUAUUAGAAGAACGAAACAUUAGGACGAACAGUUUAGAUCAAAUUUAUGAAUAUUUAGAAUUGUCAGCAUUUUUUUCCUAGAACCUCUUCCAGUAGUAGAUAAAAUUUUAAAACUUCCUGCUAAUGCUGCUUUGCAAAGCGACAACAGAACAUAUUUCAUCAAGAAGGAUUGCCUGCGAAUCGAAAGGACAAGGCUGUGCAAUCUAAGCAGCCUAGAGGACAUAACCGGCGACCUAUGCUACUCAAACCUACUAAGAGGACUAUCAGGAAACUGUACUUUCGUAAAAUUCUAUCAAUCAACGGAGAUCAAAGCGAUCAUGGACAAUUACCUUGUCGCUAAAAACAUCAAUAACACAGAAAUCGAAUCGAAUUGUGGUCUUUCAAAACGAAACAUAUCUGGAACGUAUUUGAUAGAGUUCCACAAUUGCUCUGUCAUAAUAAAUGGCACCAAGUUCUCAAAUAUCGAAGCAAACAAAUCAGAACCGACAUUUGUUAUGCCAUUAAAUGGUUUACAUAUCAAUGAACAGACCCUGGAAAUCCAGAAUAAUAAAGAAGAAAUUCACAUCCAUAAUAGACAUCGGAUUGAAGCAUUAACUAAGGAACACAAAAUUCAGACAUACACAUCUCUAAGUAUGUCGACCGUAUGUUUUCUUCUAAGUAUCGUUGCAGGUCUUUCAUGGAUUUCGAGAAAACGCAGACAGAUAUCUCUUCAUAUUGGAGCAUCCAUG